AUUGAACGCUGGCGGCAGGCCUAACACAUGCAAGUCGAGCGGAUGAAGGGAGCUUGCUCCUGGAUUCAGCGGCGGACGGGUGAGUAAUGCCUAGGAAUCUGCCUGGUAGUGGGGGAUAACGUCCGGAAACGGGCGCUAAUACCGCAUACGUCCUGAGGGAGAAAGUGGGGGAUCUUCGGACCUCACGCUAUCAUAUGAGCCUAGGUCGGAUUAGCUAGUUGGUGGGGUAAAGGCCUACCAAGGCGACGAUCCGUAACUGGUCUGAGAGGAUGAUCAGUCACACUGGAACUGAGACACGGUCAAGACUCCUACGGGAGGCAGCAGUGGGGAAUAUUGGACAAUGGGCGAAAGCCUGAUCCAGCCAUGCCGCGUGUGUGAAGAAGGUCUUCGGAUUGUAAAGCACUUUAAGUUGGGAGGAAGGGCAGUAAGUUAAUACCUUGCUGUUUUGACGUUAACAACAGAAUAAGCACCGGCUAACUUCGUG
rnacentral:rRNA from 1 species